CAUCCUGAGGGUUUUAUGACUUAUGAUGACACCAGUGGACAUCCACAGCAGAACGUGAGCUGUCGCUGGCUCCCACAGGACCUCUGUGUUCUGCUGGUCUUCAGGAUGGAUGAACAACAUUGUACCACAAUCAUGGUUGACAGUGAAUGUGACAGAAAAUUGCUGACAGUUUCGAGAUAAAAAUUAUUCUGAGAACUAUAAUGUCUGGAUUUGGCAAGGAUGUGUAAAGAGCUUGGAAGUCACUUUUUCUUUGCACCUCACAAUAAGAGAAACUCCAAACAAACAAACAAACAAAAAUUAGCUGUGUGUCUUAGGCUCAUCUGAGAAUUCAAAUCUCAAGCCAAGAAAGAUUGGGAAUAUACA